AGAAUCAACGCUGGCGGCGUGCCUAACACAUGCAAGUCGAACGCGAAAGCCCCGAAAGGGGUAAGUAGAGUGGCAAACGGGUGAGUAACACGUGGGUGACCUGCCUUCGAGUGGGGGAUAACGUCCCGAAAGGGACGCUAAUACCGCAUAACAUCCUGCCUUUGAAGAGGUGGAGAUCAAAGCCGGGGACCGCAAGGCCUGGCGUUCGAAGAGGGGCCCGCGCCUGAUUAGCUAGUUGGUGGGGUAAUGGCUCACCAAGGCAACGAUCAGUA
rnacentral:rRNA from 1 species